rnacentral:tRNA from 1 species
UGGGGGAUCGUCUAACGGUAGGACAGCGGACUCUGACUCCGCCGGUCUAGGUUCGAAUCCUAGUCCCCCAGCCA